rnacentral:rRNA from 1 species
GACGAACGCUGGCGGCAUGCCUAAUACAUGCAAGUCGAGCGAACAGAUGAAGUGCUUGCACUUCUGACGUUAGCGGCGAACGGGUGAGUAACACGUAAGGAAUCUACCUAUAAGCGGGGGAUAACAUUCGGAAACGGGUGCUAACACCGCAUAAUAUCUUCUUCCGCAUGGAAGAAGAUUGAAAGACGGCUCUGCUGUCACUUAUAGAUGACCUUGCGGUGCAUUAGUUAGUUGGUGGGGUAACGGCCUACCAAGACGAUGAUGCAUAGCCGACCUGAGAGGGUGAUCGGCCACAUUGGGACUGAGACACGGCCCAAACUCCUACGGGAGGCAGCAGUAGGGAAUCUUCCGCAAUGGGCGAAAGCCUGACGGAGCAAUGCCGCGUGAGUGAAGAAGGCCUUCGGGUCGUAAAACUCUGUUAUAAGAGAAGAACAAAUUGUAGAGUAACUGCUACAGUCUUGACGGUAUCUUAUCAGAAAGCCACGGCUAACUACGU